rnacentral:rRNA from 1 species
UACGGAGGGUGCAAGCGUUGUUCGGAUUUACUGGGCGUAAAGCGCGCGCAGGCGGGUGGACAAGUCGGAAGUGAAAUCCCAGGGCUCAACCCUGGGGCUGCUCCCGAAACUGUUCGCCUAGGGACUGGUAGAGGCUGGUAGAAUUCCCGGUGUAGCGGUGGAAUGCGUAGAGAUCGGGAAGAAUACCUGUGGCGAAGGCGACUACCUGGCCUGUUCUUGACGCUGAGGCGCGAAAGCUAGGGGAGCAAACGGG